GAAUUCACUAGUGAUUCAGGCCUAACACAUGCAAGUCGAGCGGUAGAGAGAAGCUUGCUUCUCUUGAGAGCGGCGGACGGGUGAGUAAUGCCUAGGAAUCUGCCUGGUAGUGGGGGAUAACGUUCGGAAACGGACGCUAAUACCGCAUACGUCCUACGGGAGAAAGCAGGGGACCUUCGGGCCUUGCGCUAUCAGAUGAGCCUAGGUCGGAUUAGCUAGUUGGUGAGGUAAUGGCUCACCAAGGCUACGAUCCGUAACUGGUCUGAGAGGAUGAUCAGUCACACUGGAACUGAGACACGGUCCAGACUCCUACGGGAGGCAGCAGUGGGGAAUAUUGGACAAUGGGCGAAAGCCUGAUCCAGAAAGGCCGCGUGUGUGAAGAAGGUCUUCGGAUUGUAAAACAAUGGAAGUUGGGAGGAAGGGCAUUAACCUAAUACGUUAGUG
rnacentral:rRNA from 1 species